GCCAAUAUUGCUCAGUGGCAGAGCGCACCCUUGGCAAGGGUUGGGCCGAGAGUAGGGUUCUCUCUAGCGGUACCA
rnacentral:tRNA from 1 species